CAGCUGGGAGAGUGAGGCAGCAGCAGCAGCAGCAGCAGCAGUCGUGACGUCACACUCAACACGUCAGUCUUCAGUCCCUCCAAGAUGGCAGAGGAUGGUCCUUCAAAAUGUGACAUCGAAGCUGUUUUCAGGCGACUCCGGGCCGUUCCCACCAAUAAAGUUUGUUUCGACUGCAGUGCAAAGAAUCCUACUUGGGCCUCUGUCACCUAUGGAGUAUUUAUUUGCAUUGACUGCUCAGCAGUGCACCGAGGCCUUGGGGUGCACCUCACCUUUGUGCGGUCCACUCAGCUGGACACCAACUGGACCUGGCUGCAGCUGAGAAACAUGCAGCUAGGAGGCAACACCAAUGCUAGAACAUUCUUCCACCAACACAACUGCACCACCAGUGAUGCCCAGCAGAAGUACAACUCCCGGGCCGCUCAGCUGUACCGGGAGAAGCUGUCCCAGAUGGCCCAGCAAGCCAUGAGGAUCCAUGGCACUAGGAUGAACCUUGAUGCUGCCCAAACCCAAAGCCUGGCUGGUCCAGUUGGCCUUUCAUCUCAGGGCUUCCUUGCAACCAGUCAUCCCAAACUCAAGGGGGUUAACAUUGAUGUUGCCCACCCUGAACCUCAAGAAGAGAAAAAGGAAGUGGAUUUCUUUGAGGAUCAUGCCAGCCAUGCUGCUCCGCCUUCUCCUGAUGUGCUUGCUGCCCCACCCACCCUAGCCACUCUCAAGAAUUCCAAUCUGAAUAAUGGGACAGAAGAGCCUGUGGGUGCCCCUAAUGUGGAGGCAGCCCUCAAUAUGUCAGCCACAGAGGCCCAGAAGCUGGCCUCUGAGCCACGGAAAUCAACCAUCGGCCAGCGUAAGCCUGCCUCCAAGCUUGGAGCCAAAAAGGCAGGAGGACUUGGGGCUCAGCGUGUCAAAAAGGACUUCAGUGCAAUAGAAAAGGAGGCUGCCCGCAAUGACCAGUUAAGGCAGGAAGCCAAGCAACUGUCCAAAGAGGAGCAGCAGCAGUCGUUACAAAGCCUUGAGCGUGCCUAUGAAGACAUGAGUCUGGCUGGAAAGCGUGAGGAGGAGAGGAUGAAGAGAACUGAUCCCAUGAAGGCACAGCAGGCAGAGCGGCUAGGUAUGGGUCUGGGGGUGAGGAGUGGUGCCUCUCACAGCAUGUUUGGGGAGAUGAAGACAAUCAGCCAGGAGACACCCUCCAGCAUGAAGUCCAAUACAUCCAGCCUGGGCAACAAUAACUCUUCCAGCUUUAGAGACGAAGAUAUUGAUGAUGACUUUGAAACCAUCAUCAGGUUUUCUUCAGGCCCCCCAAAGUACCGGGACAGUCCCUUUGAAGACCAGGGUAACUUUGGCUUCUCCAGCAAGGGUCCAGGUAUUGAUGACCUCCUCAACAAUAAGCCUUCACCUGCUCUGACCUCUUCCUGGGACAAUGAAUUUGACAAGACCAACAACUCAUCUUCAAACUCAUCCACAAACAUGAGCAAUCUCUCCUCCAGUAAAGUUUCAGCAUCAGCCAACUACAAAUUCAACCCUGUGGAAGAUAACCAGGCCCAGCAAAAGUUUGGCAAUGCUAAGGCCAUUUCCUCAGAUAUGUUCUUCCAUGACCGUGAUCCCAACAGUGAGGUGCGCUCCACCCUGGCCCGGUAUGAAGGCUCCACCUCCAUCUCCUCAGCAGACCUCUUUGGGGGUGGCCAGACCCAGAGACAGAACUACAGUGGUGGCUCCCUUCAGUCCCUCCCCCCUUCCCCUCCCUCAGGCCCCAGACCUGGAUGAAGUGCGAGAGUCUGUCCGGCAAGGUGUGACCAAGGUGGCUGGGCGGCUGGGGAACCUGGCAAACAACGUCAUGUCCUCUCUUCAGAGAAAAUGAUGACACGGUUAGACUAAUUUCGAACGGCGUUCAAGAACAAAUUAUGUUAAAAAACCGAGGUUCCACUGAUCGCUACCUCUAAAGACCUUGGACCUUGCAGUGAUGUGGGGCACAUGAUCCCUCUUCCUGUCAUUUUUGUGUCGUCUUCGUUUUUAUUGUUAGUGCAAUCUUGAAAACAUAUUAAUAGCUUUCUGGUGAAUCACAUCACAUCACUUUCAGAAACAUUGGCAAUUUCAUAAUUAUGUAUCUGCAAAAACUAAACAAAAAAAUGCAAAUGUAUCUGCUUUUCAUAUCACUGUUUUAUAUAUAUUACUUUUUUUUUCAUACUGUUUUUUGUGAUACAGCACAUAUCUUUAGUCCCUUAUACAACAUAUAUUUCAGUUGAAAAUUUGUACAAUAUAUUUUAUUUGAUAUUUCCUGGUUUGAUCAUUGUUAUUAGUGUUUGUACAGAGGAUAUAACUAGGUAAGAUUGUUAGAUAUUUAUAUCUGGGGAGGGGGAAGGUAAAUUGUUCUAGGGUUUCAGACUAACUAUUUGACUUAUGAUGUGGUCUUGACUUAUAUUGUAAUAAAAAGAUGUCAUUAUGAGAGACAGUUGUAAACAUUGAGUCGGGUGGGGGGUUGAAUAGGACAAAUUAGCAUUGUAGAAAGGAGUUUCAGGGCUCAGAGUGGGGUGUCACCUUCAAGUCUACCAUCCUUCAAACACACACACAUUUUGGGAAAUGUAUAUAAAUUCUUCUGCCAGGCAUUUGGUGGUUCUGUGGUCUUCACUGAUGCAGUCUUGAGUUCUAGUAAAUAUCAUUGCACUGCCACCAUAUGUAUUAUUUGUCAUUUUACAAUAUCCUGAGUUUUUAAAAGAUAUGGCUCACUAAUUGAAGUAAUCAUUGUAAACCACCUUGAUUACUAUAAUAGGUAUACAACUAUUUUUCAUACAAAGUAUAGCUUAAUGGAAAAUCAUAUUGUGUAUGUAUAGUGUAGACUUUUCAUUAUUUUUUAAGUCAUUAAGAAGUUAGUAGAAUUUAAACAUCUCUUUAAUUACUGGUAUUAUCAGUUCAUGUUUUCAUUCCUGUGGUCAACUUGAAUGAGUUGCGCCCUAAAGCCUCUCUGAGCCAGACUUUGUAAAUCAUUCCUCAGUAUCCAAGUUUGAAAGGGUAGCACUUUCAGCACCUGAAAAGUAAUGUAAUACUAGGGAUGGUACUAGACCACAUGUAUCUUCACCUCUUUCUGUAUUAAAGAUAUUUAAAAGGGGUUUUAUUGAUCAAAAUUCUGUGCCAUCUAUUCACAGUUUGUAUCUUGAGGAUUUAAUGUUUUUUAGUCAUGCUCAUUUUAGCAUUAGUAAUUUCUGAUAUUUAUCUGGUAAUCAUAGGGAUUGGGAAUAAAAGAAGAUUUCAA